UCCCUGAUGGUCCAGUGGUCAAGACUUUGCUCUUCUACUGCAGGGGGCACAGGUUCGAUCCCUGAUCGGGGAA